rnacentral:rRNA from 1 species
GAUGAACGCUGGCGGCGUGCCUAAUACAUGCAAGUCGAGCGAACGGACGAGAAGCUUGCUUCUCUGAUGUUAGCGGCGGACGGGUGAGUAACACGUGGAUAACCUACCUAUAAGACUGGGAUAACUUCGGGAAACCGGAGCUAAUACCGGAUAAUAUUUUGAACCGCAUGGUUCAAAAGUGAAAGACGGUCUUGCUGUCACUUAUAGAUGGAUCCGCGCUGCAUUAGCUAGUUGGUAAGGUAACGGCUUACCAAGGCAACGAUGCAUAGCCGACCUGAGAGGGUGAUCGGCCACACUGGAACUGAGACACGGUCCAGACUCCUACGGGAGGCAGCAGUAGGGAAUCUUCCGCAAUGGGCGAAAGCCUGACGGAGCAACGCCGCGUGAGUGAUGAAGGUCUUCGGAUCGUAAAACUCUGUUAUUAGGGAAGAACAUAUGUGUAAGUAACUGUGCACAUCUUGACGGUACCUAAUCAGAAAGCCACGGCUAACUACGUGCCAGCAGCCGCGGUAAUACGUAGGUGGCAAGCGUUAUCCGGAAUUAUUGGGCGUAAAGCGCGCGUANGCGGUUUUUUAGUCUGAUGUGAAAGCCCACGGCUCACCCGUGGAGGGUCAUUGGAAACUGGAAAACUUGAGUGCAGAAGAGGAAAGUGGAAUUCCAUGUGUAGCGGUGAAAUGCGCAGAGAUAUGGAGGAACACCAGUGGCGAAGGCGACUUUCUGGUCUGUAACUGACGCUGAUGUGCGAAAGCGUGGGGAUCAAACAGGAUUAGAUACCCUGGUAGUCCACGCCGUAAACGAUGAGUGCUAAGUGUUAGGGGGUUUCCGCCCCUUAGUGCUGCAGCUAACGCAUUAAGCACUCCGCCUGGGGAGUACGACCGCAAGGUUGAAACUCAAAGGAAUUGACGGGGACCCGCACAAGCGGUGGAGCAUGUGGUUUAAUUCGAAGCAACGCGAAGAACCUUACCAAAUCUUGACAUCCUUUGACAACUCUAGAGAUAGAGCCUUCCCCUUCGGGGGACAAAGUGACAGGUGGUGCAUGGUUGUCGUCAGCUCGUGUCGUGAGAUGUUGGGUUAAGUCCCGCAACGAGCGCAACCCUUAAGCUUAGUUGCCAUCAUUAAGUUGGGCACUCUAAGUUGACUGCCGGUGACAAACCGGAGGAAGGUGGGGAUGACGUCAAAUCAUCAUGCCCCUUAUGAUUUGGGCUACACACGUGCUACAAUGGACAAUACAAAGGGCAGCGAAACCGCGAGGUCAAGCAAAUCCCAUAAAGUUGUUCUCAGUUCGGAUUGUAGUCUGCAACUCGACUACAUGAAGCUGGAAUCGCUAGUAAUCGUAGAUCAGCAUGCUACGGUGAAUACGUUCCCGGGUCU